rnacentral:rRNA from 1 species
UACGAAGGGUGCAAACGUUUGCUCGGAAUUAUUGGGCGUAAAGCGCACGUAGGCGGCUUUGUAAGUCAGAGGUGAAAGCCUGGAGCUCAACUCCAGAACUGCCUUUGAGACUGCAUCGCUCGAAUCCAGGAGAGGUGAGUGGAAUUCCGAGUGUAGAGGUGAAAAUUCGUAGAUAUUCGGAAGAACACCAGUGGCGAAGGCGGCUCACUGGACUGGUAUUGACGCUGAGGUGCGAAAGCGUGGGGAGCAAACAGG